rnacentral:rRNA from 1 species
CUCCUACGGGAGGCAGCAGUGGGGAAUAUUGCACAAUGGGCGAAAGCCUGAUGCAGCAACGCCGCGUGAGGGAUGACGGCCUUCGGGUUGUAAACCUCUUUUAGUAGGGAAGAAGCGAAAGUGACGGUACCUGCAGAAAAAGCACCGGCUAACUACGUGCCAGCAGCCGCGGUAAUACGUAGGGUGCAAGCGUUGUCCGGAAUUAUUGGGCGUAAAGAGCUCGUAGGCGGUUUGUCGCGUCUGCUGUGAAAUCCCGAGGCUCAACCUCGGGSUUGCAGUGGGUACGGGCAGACUAGAGUGCGGUAGGRGAGAUUGGAAUUCCUGGUGUAGCGGUGGAAUGCGCAGAUAUCARGAGGAACASCGAUGGCGAAGGCAGAUCUCUGGGCCGUAACUGACGCUGAGGAGCGAAAGCGUGGGGAGCGAACAGGAUUAGAUACCCUGGUAGUCCACGCCGUAAACGUUGGGCGCUAGAUGUAGGGACCUUUCCACGGUUUCUGUGUCGUAGCUAACGCAUUAAGCGCCCCGCCUGGGGAGUACGGCCGCAAGGCUAAAACUCAA